UACUGUAAGAAUCUUGACUACUUUCCAAAUAUAGUAGGAAAGAUGGAUGCACUGAGGGAUAUUUUUGCAGUGGACACGGCAAUUAAAGAACUCCCGCAUUCCAUUGGAAAUCUUUCAGGGCUUCAAAUCUUUGAUAUGAGCUCCUGCAAAAGUCUUAGGGAGCUUCCAAAUAGCUUAUUCUUGUUGCAAAGUCUUAGCUGGCUUGAGCUGGGUGACACUCGAAGCUGCUGCAAAAAAUCAAUAAAGAAAUUAGAGCAACAAAGCCAGCAAGUGAAUAGCUGAACCAACUUAGAGGUCUUGAAUCUUGAAAAUUGCCAUCUACCGGAUGAAGAUCUUCACCUUACUCUGAACUGUUUUCAGAACUUGGAGACUUUGGUUCUAUCUGGGAAUGAUUUUGUAUCACUUCCUAAGUGCAUUAAAGAGUGUGCAAAUUUGUUAAAUCUGGAAGUGAAUAACUGCAAGCAUCUAAGAGACAUACCAGAGCUUCCGUUGAAGUUGGAGAUGAUAAAGGCAGAGAAUUGCACAUCAUUAACGGCAGAGUCAUUAAGUCGUUUAUGGUCUCAGGCAAUGAAGGAGAUCAAUGGCCUUGAAGUCCGUAUGCCUGCAUCAUUGUUUCCAGAAUGGUUUGACAAUUGCUGUAAAGGAGGGAGGUUGUCUUUUCAUGCGCGUGGGAGCUUCCCUGUUGUUGCCUUGGCAUUUGAGUUUGAAAAAGUGAAUACAAAUGCGAGAUCAAAGAAUUUCUGUGUUUGUGUAAAUAUCAAAUCUUGUAAAAUAGAAAAGAAGAUUUUAAGUCAAAUGGUUUAUGGUGGUAGAGAGGGUCAUGUGGUUUUAUUUGAUUCAAGAAGGGCUUUUGAGAGAGAAGAGUGGAAGAGCCUUAACAGGUUUUUGAAAGAGGAUUGGAAUUAUGUGGAAAUUGAAGCCAUAUGUGACCCACCAGAAUUGUCCAUAAUUAACUGUGGAGUUUAUGUCUACAAACAGCAGACAAACAUGGAGAAUGUCCAGUUCAAGUCUUCUCUGCUUUUCAUGAAUGCUCCAAGAACUUCACUGAAACGAAGAACAACAGCUUCUCCUAGUGAACCAGCCAAGAAGUUCAACCAAGAAUUUUAUGAGGAAGCUUAAGGCAACUGAUAAGAAGAAUUAAACACAUCACAUUUCUCAUUUGGGUAACAACAUAAUGAUGGUGGCUCCAAUAUUGAUCCCGAGAUGGUAAAUUUUCUCCUGCUGGUUCAUUAUGUUGGAGAUUGACCUCAUUCUGAGAUAUUAUUUCAAAACUUGCUCUGAAAAGUUGAAGAAUUUGGUGAUUAUGAGUGACUUGUACUGCUAUCGUAGAAGUUUGCCCUUUACACUUCAACAUUGUCUUCGUCGAUUAUGUAUGCAAUACAUAACAAUUGUUGUUGGCUGAUAUGGAUAUUUUAAAAUUCCAUGAAAAUUUUAAUUAUCAGUUGGUUUUUUUUCCCCCCCUAAUUUUUACCACAAAAAUUCCCUAGUCAUGAAGACGUUAGAAACAUUACUGUGCUUCAAGUCUUUCAGUCACCAUGGUGUAUAUUGGUUGGGAAGAAAACUUCCUAGUUGCAUUGGAAGCGAAAGAAGGCCAUACAAAAGAAUCUUCUGAAGCCUCUUGGGUGAAUUGGAAGAAAAAAGGAACGAUUAUGCUGCAACAUUUUUCCAACACCUCGUACUCCAGAAUAAUUCUAGGAGUUAUUUCUUUUUUGUCUUGGAGUAACAUUUUUAAUGUCUUAUAUGUGUUGUUGGUAUUUAUUUCUGUAAAGCUUUUAAGUGCUUCUUCUUCUUCUUCUUCCGGUUUUUUUUUUUGGGGACAAGCUUUUAAUUGCUGCUGUGUAGGUUGUACAUAUUCCUUGACCCCAAAAAAAAAAAAAGGUUGUACAUAUUCCAUUUAUUAAUUUGUGAUUUAUUUUUUAUUCUAAUAUUAGGACAUGUGUUGGAAUUUGGACUUCUAUGGGUAUCAGAAAUACUCCAUGAAUGUAAUCCUUCGUUCACUCAUCACUGCAACCUUUGGAGAUUAAUGAUAUGUUAAUGGACCUGGGGCUAAGCAAAUUCCAGAUAGUCAUGGAUGUGGUUGUUAGGUGAUUCCACUUUAUGAGGUGGAAGAUUGGGAGGUUCUCAUGACAAUUCGUUCACUCUAGUCGGAGGCGAUGGAGAAGAAGAUGAAGUGGUAGACGUUUCCAAAUUUAAUUAAUGUGGCAUGCGUUUUUCCUUGCACACCAUUUUGUUAUAUUCUGUUUUUGAGUUAAGUUCAACCAUUAAAUGCAAGGUGGUGGGUGGUUCGUUCAACCUUCUACUAUCACAUCAAGGAGAGAUGCGUAUUCUAAUCUUAUCAAUGAAAGAAGAGAACAGAAAGCAUGUGUUCUGUCUUUGUUUUCACCUUAUUUGCUUGAGGCAGCUCUGCUAUAGUGUUAAAUGGAAAAUCUAUUUGACUUUAUUUUUCCUUUAAUCUGCAUGCGUCAAACAUGUUGAAGUGUAUAUUAUUUGUUUUUGACUUCUUCUUUUGUGCCAGGCAUGUGGGUUUCUGCCUUGAAGGUUAACAAAGUGAGGGAUGUGUACUGCAAGGAGGUGACCUAAGUAUGGAAGAAACAUGAGAAAAGUCACCUGUAUGCUGCAUGGUGAGUGUGGGGAGUCUACAUUGCGAGGAUUACAGGCUGUUCCUAACAGGGACAACAAAAGUGUGUCGUUAUUCAGUAUGCUCAUUCAUAUGUCAUGGACGCUUUGGUAUUUUUGUUGCAUGAACUUCAAGUUGUUUGCUUAAUUUGGGACUUAUCCUUAAUUUUUUUUUUUAAUUUUUUUUUAGGUAGCCCAUGUUUCCCCUUUGCUUGGUUUAUAAACUUUGAUGUUAUACUAUUAUAUGAACUUAUCUUCAUAAGGAUUCUGCAAUUUCCAUUUA